GAUGAACGCUGGCGGCGUGCCUAAUACAUGCAAGUCGAGCGAACAGACGAGGAGCUUGCUCCUCUGACGUUAGCGGCGGACGGGUGAGUAACACGUGGAUACCCUACCUAUAAGACUGGGAUAACUUCGGGAAACCGGAGCUAAUACCGGAUAAUAUCUUGAACCGCAUGGUUCAAUAGUGAAAUACGGUUUUGCUGUCACUUAUAGAUGGAUCCGCGCCGCAUUAGCUAGUUGGUAAGGUAACGGCUUACCAAGGCAACGAUGCGUAGCCGACCUGAGAGGGUGGUCGGCCACACUAGAAGGGGGACGCGGUCAAGACGCCUACGGGAGGCAGCAGUAGGGAAUCUUCCGCAAUGGGCGAAAGCCUGACGGAGCAACGCCGCGUGAGUGAUGAAGGUCUUCGGAUCGUGAAGCUCUGUUAUUAGGGAAGAACAAAUGUGUAAGUAACUGUGCACGUAUUGACGGUACCGAAUCAGGAAGCCACGGCUAACUACGUG
rnacentral:rRNA from 1 species